UACGUAGGGUCCGAGCGUUGUCCGGAUUUAUUGGGCGUAAAGCGCUCGUAGGCGGUUUGGUAAGUCGGGUGUGAAACCUCCAGGCUCAACCUGGUGACGCCACCCGAUACUGCCAUGACUUGAGUUCGGUAGGGGAGCGGGGAAUUCCUGGUGUAGCGGUGAAAUGCGCAGAUAUCAGGAGGAACACCGGUGGCGAAGGCGCCGCUCUGGGCCGAAACUGACGCUGAGGAGCGAAAGCGUGGGGAGCAAACAGG
rnacentral:rRNA from 1 species